UACGUAGGGGGCAAGCGUUAUCCGGAUUUACUGGGUGUAAAGGGAGCGUAGGUGGCCAAAUAAGUCAGAUGUGAAAGCCCAGGGCUCAACCCUGGGAUUGCAUUUGAAACUAUCUGGCUAGAGUGCAGGAGAGGUAAGUGGAAUUCCUAGUGUAGCGGUGAAAUGCGUAGAUAUUAGGAGGAACACCAGUGGCGAAGGCGGCUUACUGGACUGUAACUGACACUGAGGCUCGAAAGCGUGGGGAGCAAAC
rnacentral:rRNA from 1 species